AGCGGCGGACGGGUGAGUAACACGGUGGCAACCUGCCCUGGAGCGGGGGAUAACAUUUGGAAACAGAUGCUAAUACCGGCAUAAUAAUCAAAACCACAUGGUCUUGAUUUCAAAGAUGGCUUCGGCUAUCACUCCAGGUAUGGGGCCCGCGGUGCAUUAGCUAGUUGGUAAGGUAACGGCUUACCAAGGGCAAUGAUGCAUAGCCGAGUUGAGAGACUGAUCGGCCACAAUGGAACUGAGACACGGUCCAUACUCC
rnacentral:rRNA from 1 species